GUGGGGGAGCACACAAUUUGAUAUACCCGGUGUUUUCCCACCCCUGUAAACGAAGUCUUCUCGGUUGGGGUGUUUUGAACACUGCGCUCUCAAACUAAGCAUUAACCAGACCGCUUGGGGAGUCCGGCCCCAAGGUUAAAAUCCAAAUGAAUGCCGGGGGCCCCCACAACCGGUGGGGCAUGUGUUUUAUUUCGAUGCAACGCGAAGAACCUUCCCUACUCUUGACAUCCACAGAACUUUUCAGAGAUGAAUUUUUCCUUCGGGAACUAAAGACAGGUGUUGCAUGGCCGUCGUCAGCUCGUGUUGUGAAAUGUUGGGUUAAGUCCCGCAACGAGCGCACCCCCUUUCCUUACUUGCCAGCGGGUAAUGCCGGGAACUUUAGGGAGACCCCCGGUGCUAAACCGGAGGAAGGUGGGGACGACGUCAAGUCAUCAUGGCCCUUACGAGUAGGGCUACACACCUGCUACAAUGGUCAGUACAGAGGGUUGCGAAGCCGCAAGGUGGAGCAAAUCCCAUAAAGCCGGUCGUAGUCCGGAUUGGAGUCUGCAACUCGACUCCAUGAAGUCGGAAUCGCUAGUAAUCGUGGAUCAGAAUGCCACGGUGAAUACGUUCCCGGGCCUUGUACACACCGCCCGUCACAGCCAUGGGAGUUGGCUGCACCAGAAGUAGAUAGGGUAACCUUUUGGGAGCCCCCUUUCCAACCCUGGUUUCCCCCCU
rnacentral:rRNA from 1 species